CGCAUCUGUGCAUGCAGCAUAUCAAUAAAGCGGAGGAAAAGAAACUAACAAGGAUUCCCCUAGUAACGGCGAGUGAAGCGGGAAGAGCUCAAAUUUGAAAUCUUAAAGGGUUUCCCUUUACGAAUUGUAGUUUAAAGAAGUGUUUUCUGUUGAGGUUUUGGUAAAAGUUCUUUGGAAUAGGACAUCAUAGAGGGUGAGAAUCCCGUAUUUGACCUUUACUUUCAACUUUGUGAUACACUUUCAAAGAGUCGGAUUGCUUGGGAAUGCAGUCCAAAAUGGGUGGUAAAUUUCAUCUAAAGCUAAAUAUUGGCGAGAGACCGAUAGCGAACAAGUACCGUGAGGGAAAGAUGAAAAGAACUUUGAAAAGAGAGUUAAACAGUACGUGAAAUUGUCAAAAGGGAAGCGUUUGACACCAGUGUUGUUUUUCUGAAAAUCAAUUAAAGAACUGUUUAUGCUAAGUUGUUUAGACUUUAUCAGCUAACUGUUUAGUUUUGAGCUUUUCUUUAAUGCACUUUUCAGUUAACAAGUCAACAUCAAUUUCUUUUGCUGUAAAAAAGCUUGAGGAAGGUGGCUUGAGAUUCGUCUUAAGUGUUUAUAGCCUCUUGCCUAUGCAGUCGGAGAGAUUGAGGUCUGCAGCGUAGAUCCUUCGGGGCUAAAUGCAUUUGUGCUAAGUUAUAACAUUUUAUAGACAACUUGUUGACUAUGAUUUGUCUUGUAGCUUACUCGCUUAUGUUAUUUUACCUACGCUUAGGAUGUUGAACGCGCACAGAGUCUC
rnacentral:rRNA from 1 species